ACCAUCGAGGACCUGCAGGACAAGAUUCCUGGUGCCACCGUUGAGAACUCCAAGGUAGUCCUGCAGAUCGACAAU
rfam:Camelus ferus unplaced genomic scaffold scaffold238, whole genome shotgun sequence.